rnacentral:rRNA from 1 species
UACGAAGGGUGCAAGCGUUACUCGGAAUUACUGGGCGUAAAGCGUGCGUAGGUGGUUCGUUAAGUCCGAUGUGAAAGCCCUCGGCUCAACCUGGGAAUGGCAUUGGAUACUGGCGGGCUAGAGUGCGGUAGAGGAUGGCGGAAUUCCCGGUGUAGCAGUGAAAUGCGUAGAGAUCGGGAGGAACAUCCGUGGCGAAGGCGGCCAUCUGGACCAGCACUGACACUGAGGCACGAAAGCGUGGGGAGCAAACAGG